UCCAUAAUCACAUGGCAAAAUCAAAUAACAAAACGCAUCAAAAAUGAAUGGACAAGAACUGUCAUAUUCCUGACUUGGUACAGGCAUUUUCAAAUGUAGAAAAUGGUGGAUUGAACCUGGUUUUAUAGCUAGCUAAACCUCUCACUUGUAUGACAGUCGCAUCAAAUUCCAUUAUAUUGUAACCGAUGCGUGAACAAAACAAACAGACACAAUAGGUAAAAAUGUCAAAAAUAGGGGUACAGCAGUCAACAUUGUGUUAUCAUCUUAAUCACUAUAAAAACAACAAAUGUAACGAAGAAGCACAAAAAGGCAUACAUCAAAUUAACAUCCUCAUUUUGAUUAUAUUAUACGAUUUUAUUUGUCUAUGUAAAAUGCACCCAUCAAGGAAGGAGGGUUUUGAGUACUGGUGAAAAUUGCGCGUUUGAAAUUCGCACA
rnacentral:lncRNA from 1 species